CCUACGGGAGGCAGCAGUAGGGAAUAUUGCUCAAUGGGGGAAACCCUGAAGCAGCAACGCAGCGUGGAGGAUGAAGGUUUUCGGAUUGUAAACUCCUUUUGUUAGAGAAGAUAAUGACGGUAUCUAACGAAUAAGCACCUGCUAACUCCGUGCCAGCAGCCGCGGUAAUACGGAGGGUGCAAGCGUUACUCGGAAUCACUGGGCGGAAAGAGCGCGUAUGCGGGAUAGCAAGUCAGAUGUGAAAUCCUAUGGCUUAACCAUAGAACUGCAUUUGAAACUGUUAUUCUAGAGUAUGGGAGAGGUAGGUGGAAUUCUUGGUGUAGGGGUAAAAUCCGUAGAGAUCAAGAGGAAUACUCAUUGCGAAGGCGACCUGCUAGAACAUAACUGACGCUGAUGCGCGAAAGCGUGGGGAGCAAACAGGAUUAGAUACCCGUGUAGUC
rnacentral:rRNA from 1 species